AACGCACCGGGGCCGCCGUUAACGAACCGGGGGCGGAGCGGCGCGCGGCGGGGCCGGCAGGGGCCGCGGUGCAGCCCCGGCCCGUUCUGUCCGUCCCGGAUCCGGCAGCGGCAGCGCCCGACGGGGGUUGUUGGGGGUGUCCGGCUCCGCUCCCUCCGCUCGGUACCGGGGAAACGGCACGGGGCACACGGCGGUGGCGAUGGACGGCGAGGCGGCGGCAUGAGGUGGCGGGGAGCAUGGCGGCGGCGGGCGGCGGCGGGGCGCGGCGGGGGCUGCUGAAGCGGAAGCCGAACUUCACGCUGCAGGAGCUGGAGGUGCUGAUGAGCGAAGUGCUCCGGUACGAGCCGCUGCUGUUCGGCGCCGCCGCCGGUACCGUGAACGCGUACGAGAAGCAGAAGAUCUGGUGGCGGAUCACGCACAAGGUGAACGCCGCCGGCCGCCACCAGCGCGACAUCGGCGAGGUGAAGAACCGCUGGCGGGGGCUACGCCGCCGCGCCGGGGACAAGAUCAGUCGGCACCGGCUGGAGCGGCAGGGCCCGGCCGGCAGGACCGCCGCCAGGAACGGGAACACCGGGAGCACCGGGAAUAACGGGAGCAACGGGAACGGCGCGGCCGAGUCCGGCCCGGGCCCCGCCCCCGCCCCCGUCUGGGGUCCUCGCGGCGCCGCCGGAACCGACCCUCCGAUGCGCAGCGCCGAAGCCUCGGCACAGCACGGUGUCAAGGAGCCGGUGAAGGAGGAGCCUGUGGAGGUGAAGACUGAACCCUUCCACGGCCCUUCUGCCGACGGCAUUCCCGGCCGCGGCUCAGACUGUCUGCCCCGUACCGGCAUCUGCCCGCCCAACGAGCUGUGCGAGGGCUGGAGCCGGAGCCCCCCGCGCUCCGCACCCUCCGAACUCUCCCUCGGCGAACUUCGCGGCCAGCAGGAGCCGCUGGGCUCCGACUUCCCGAGCCUGCUAUCGGAUCAGGAGGCCGAGCAGCUCAGUCACUGCGGCGCGGGAGAGGCGGGGCCUCCCGGGGCGGCGGGGCUGGACGGGACCCCCGAGUGCCCCCAGUUCAGCCUCGUGCAGUCCAAUGAGCGGCUGGUACAGGAGAUGCGGGCGUUCCGCCGGGAAUACGCCGAGAGCCGUCGGGAGACCACGGCGGUGCUGCGCGGUAUCGCCCAGGCACUGGGCGUGCUCAGUCGCAGCCUGGCCGAAAUCCGUGACCUCUACCUCCGGGAGUGGGGGGUCCCCAAAUCAUGAGCCUCCCACGCAGCUGGCUGUGUACACACACCCCUACCCCUCCCCCCCAGAAACCACGACGCUUCUUUUAUUAUUAUUUUUAUUAUUAUUUCUUUUCCUCUCCAUCCCACUUCAAUAAAACUUGGAGCUGCACCCCCA
rnacentral:lncRNA from 1 species